ensembl:lncRNA
AGAGAGAGAGAGAGAGAAAUCGAGUGAGACAUAAAUCGAGUGAAACAUGAAGCGAUCGUACGAAAGCGGGUCACAUAAAAAGAAAGACCAAAGGCAGGACUUUCUUUCAAAGCUGCCAAAGCUAUCAAGCUGUUUUACAGCCACCGCAGUGGCAGCGGGACUGUCGGCGGAUCAAGAGCAGCCGUCAACGUCGUUUGCUGUCACGUUACUGCUCCUUUCAUUCCAAGUGGCUCUGGCUCAGCCAGCAGCGAUGCUAAUGACGUGUGUCAACAAACUGACGGAGAUGAUGCACAACUUAUCAUUGGCCGGGUCUUCCUUCUCCCGUAUCGACCCCAGUUGUAGGGCGUGCGAGUGUUUUCCUCCUCUACCUGUUGCAGCGGGGAGCGAUCAGCUGAUUGAUCGAGUUGCACUUGUAAUUGUGCUGUUCGGUACAAGUGAUCCCCUUCCUCCCCUUUGAUGUUCAUUCAACUCCUGACGACACAGUGAGAAAGAUCCCUCAUCCUCACCCCUGCAAUAUCGAUUGUGGAGGUAGUCAUGAACAUUUAAAAACCUCUGUGACAAAGACCACUUUGCCAGUCCGCACCAUGGUCCCAGAAUGCCAGCCCCAUCCUCACCCCUGCAUCUCACCCAUCAACCUCCGCCUGCUACCCACCCGAUGUAAAUGUUGUUUGGAUGUUUGAUACCUACUUUGCCUUUUUUUUUUCAGUUUCAUUUAGUCUUUUAACAAUUUUGGACCAGAGCCGUUCAUGUGCAUACAUGCAGUGGGCUUGCCGCAGGCUUGGAGAAAAUUAUUUCAAUAAUCAAGUCAUUGAAAAUGUAAAUGCAGGGCUAAACUGGGAACAGGUACAAAUAGGUUUAUAUAGUGUAGCUAUGUGUCUGUAUUAAGGUACCUUGAAAGGCCUCAUAGGUUUCUCCCCCGAUGGUGGAGGAUUCACAUGGAGUAACUGCAGAGCAAAUGCAAAGAACAAUAAGUGAUGUAGGCUAGGUAGCCUAGCUCUGAAUAAUUGCCAACAAACUAGUUUGACCAACUAACAAACUAUUACUAUUAUGUGGUUAGAUUCCAGCAGCUGAUACACCAGCCAUGCCUUCAUCAUCGACCCUGACAGGUGUGAUGAUAGGUGGUGAAGGGACUGCAAAACAACAAAAAGAAACAGUUGGCAAACAGAAUUAACAACUUCUUUGUUUUUCAACCAUAGCUACUAUUGCAAAUACUUACACGCAGGCCUUCUUGGCAACACUCCAGGUUUUAUUGUUCC